rnacentral:rRNA from 1 species
CCUACGGGAGGCAGCAGUUAGGAAUCUUCCACAAUGGGCGAAAGCCUGAUGGAGCGACGCCGCGUGAGGGAUGAAGGUUUUCGGAUCGUAAACCUCUGAAUCAGGGACGAAAGACGCUUUAUGCGGGAUGACGGUACCUGAGUAAUAGCACCGGCUAACUCCGUGCCAGCAGCCGCGGUAAUACGGAGGGUGCAAGCGUUACCCGGAAUCACUGGGCGUAAAGGGCGUGUAGGCGGGAUGUUAAGUCUGGCUUUAAAGACCGGGGCUCAACCUCGGGAGUGGGCUGGAUACUGGCAUUCUUGACCUCUGGAGAGGUACUCGGAAUUUCUGGUGUAGCGGUGGAAUGCGUAGAUACCAGAAGGAACACCGAUGGCGAAGGCAGAGUACUGGACAGAAGGUGACGCUGAGGCGCGAAAGUGUGGGGAGCGAACCGGGAUUAGGAUACCCGGGGUAAGUCCGACACCCUAAACGGACUGUACGUUGGAUGACGGCAGGAUGCUGUCGUUGUCGAAGUUAACGCGAUAACGUACCGCCUGGGAAGUACGGCCGCAAGGUUGAAACUCAAAGGAUUGACGG